UUACAGCCAUAUCAUGUGGAAACACCAGUUCCCAUAUGAUCACUGAAGUUAAACAAUGUCAAGCCUGGUCAGUAUCUAGAUGGAUAACUGCUUGGGAAUACCAAGUGCUGUAAG